UGCCUAACACAUGCAAGUCGAACGCGAAAGGGGGGGCAACUCCCCGAGUAGAGUGGCGAACGGGUGAGUAAUACAUCGGAACGUGUCCAGUAGCGGGGGAUAACCUCUCGAAAGAGAGGCUAAUACCGCAUACGACCUACGGGUGAAAGAGGGGGAUCGCAAGACCUCUCACUAUUGGAGCGGCCGAUGUCGGAUUAGCUAGUUGGCGGGGUAAAAGCCCACCAAGGCGACGAUCCGUAGCUGGUCUGAGAGGACGGCCAGCCACACUGGAACUGAGACACGGUCCAGACUCCUACGGGAGGCAGCAGUGGGGAAUUUUGGACAAUGGGCGCAAGCCUGAUCCAGCCAUGCCGCGUGAGUGAAGAAGGCCUUCGGGUUGUAAAGCUCUUUCGGCGGGGACGAAAAGGUCUGUGUUAACACCACGGAUCCAUGACGGUACCCGCAGAAGAAGCACCGGCUAACUACGUGCCAGCAGCCGCGGUAAUACGUAGGGUGCAGGCGUUAAUCGGAAUUACUGGGCGUAAAGCGUGCGCAGGCGGUUUGCUAAGACAGGUGUGAAAUCCCCGGGCUUAACCUGGGAAUUGCGCUUGUAACUGGCAAGCUAGGGUGUGGCAGAGGGGGGUGGAAUUCCAGGUGUAGCAGUGAAAUGCGUAGAUAUCUGGAGGAACACCGAUGGCGAAGGCAGCCCCCUGGGCUAACACUGACGCUCAUGCACGAAAGCGUGUGGAGCAAACAGGAUUAGAUACCCCUGGUAGUCCACGCCCUAAACUAUGUCAACUGGUUGUCGGGGAAGCAAUUCCUUGGUAACGAAGCUAACGCGUGAAGUUGACCGCCUGGGGAGUACGGCCGCAAGGUUAAAACUCAAAGGAAUUGACGGGGACCCGCACAAGCGGUGGAUUAUGUGGAUUAAUUCGAUGCAACGCGAAAAACCUUACCUACCCUUGACAUGUACGGAAGCCUCCAGAGAUGGAGGUGUGCCCGAAAGGGAACCGUAACACAGGUGCUGCAUGGCUGUCGUCAGCUCGUGUCGUGAGAUGUUGGGUUAAGUCCCGCAACGAGCGCAACCCUGCCAUUAGUUGCCACAUUCAGUUGGGCACUCUAAUGGGACUGCCGGUGACAAACCGGAGGAAGGUGGGGAUGACGUCAAGUCCUCAUGGCCCUUAUGGGUAGGGCUUCACACGUAAUACAAUGGCCGGUACAGAGGGCAGCCAACCCGCGAGGGGGAGCUAAUCCCAGAAAGCCGGUCGUAGUCCGGAUUGCAGUCUGCAACUCGACUGCAUGAAGCCGGAAUCGCUAGUAAUCGCGGAUCAGCAUGUCGCGGUGAAUACGUUCCCGGGUCUUGUACACACCGCCCGUCACACCAUGGGAGUGGGUUCCACCAGAAGUAGUUAGCCUAACCGCAAGGAGGGCGACUACCACGGUGAGAUUCAUGACUGGGGUGAAGUCGUAACAAGGUAGCCGUAUCGGAAGGUGCGGCUGGAUCACCUCCUU
rnacentral:rRNA from 1 species